UACGUUCCCGGGCCUUGUACACACCGCCCGUCAAGUCAUGAAAGUCGGUAACACCCGAAGCCGGUGGCCUAACCGUAGGGAAGGAGCCGUCGAAGGUGGGAUCGGUGAUUAGGACU
rnacentral:rRNA from 1 species